AGGAGAAGAGGGAGGAGUGCACAGCUCCUGCCCUUGUUGGCCUGGAAACGGCUGUGAAAGGGGCCGAUGAACUGAAGGGGCUGGCUGGCGGAAUAUUUCAUCACUAACCAUUACAGUCAUGUCUCUGGGGGUAAAUAGGCGAACAGGCUCAAUCACACGCACCUUACCUCUGGCUGCUUCUAUUUUGUUCAUUUUACCUCAGAACCAGUAGGCCUCAGUGCUCCUAUGUGGCCUUUGCCACCUUCCAGCCUUGUUCCUCGUAAGGCGGGAGGGCUGCUGAAUCCCUUGUGAAGGCCAGAGGGCUCAGGAGGAUGUUUAACAGUUGCGUGACAGGACAAAAUCCACAAGAUGUCCUGCCAAGCCUCGCUUAAAUGAACUGCACAUCAUCAGCAUAAUGCUCUUGCACAGCACCCGUUCAUUCACUGGGGCUUGCACAGGAGAACUUCCUCACUGAGUGUGCCCUCAGAGAAACAAACAAAAAAUAUCUUCAAGUAACUCUUUUUAAAGUAAUCUGUGUUAAGUUCAUUUGCAUGGAAGUUAGCGAGAGGAUGACAGCAAAGAAGCAAAUGAUGUAUUUAUUAUCAAUGAGAUAAGGAAAGCCAUGGGGUUUUCCAAGUGCAAUGGUUUAAGGACAGGAUUAAAGUGAGUUUCAUCAUUCUUGGCCAGCUGAACUUGCUACUUAUCAGCUUCAGUAAAAGGAUUGUGUUGGUUAUUACCUUUAAAAUCUUAAAUGGCCUGGACUCUGCAUGCACUAGGAAGCACUUUCUGCUUGUUCUUAAGAUCUGGGGGCAUGGCCAUUCUUCCAUGCCCUGUGUUUAUGGAAAUUAAACUGGCUGGGGGCAUGAAUCAGGGACUUUUAGUGGUGGCACCUAAGUUCUAGAACCUGUCCCUAGGGAGAUCUGUCAGGUUCCUCUUUUAGCUUUUCAGACCAUCAAGUUGGCAUAUUAUUUAUUCAAAUUUUUUAAUCAAUGAGGCGUGACAUAAAUGGAUUUUAUUCUGUUGUUUAUUUUUACAAUUUUAAAUUGAAUGUUUCUUACAUGUUAUUUGUAUUAAUUAAGAAUUAUAUAUUGUUUGUAUUUUUAACUUUGUAUGUCACUUUUAAUAUUAUUGUAUAGAAAAGCAAAGAAUAAAUGAAACUGAUGUCACAAA